rnacentral:rRNA from 1 species
UACGUAGGUGGCAAGCGUUGUCCGGAUUUAUUGGGUUUAAAGGGUGCGUAGGCGGCCCCGUAAGUCAGUGCUGAAAUAUCCCGGCUUAACCGGGAGGGUGGCAUUGAUACUGCAGGGCUUGAGUAAAGUUGAGGUAGGCGGAAUUGACGGUGUAGCGGUGAAAUGCGUAGAUAUCGAGAGGAACACCUGCGGCGAAGGCGGGUUGCUGGGCCGACACUGACGCUGAUGCGCGAAAGCCAGGGGAGCGAACGGG